rnacentral:rRNA from 1 species
CCGCCAGACUCCUACGGGAGGCAGCAGUGGGGAAUAUUGCACAAUGGGGGAAACCCUGAUGCAGCGACGCCGCGUGAGUGAAGAAGUAUUUCGGUAUGUAAAGCUCUAUCAGCAGGGAAGAAAAUGACGGUACCUGAUUAAGAAGCCCCGGCUAACUACGUGCCAGCAGCCGCGGUAAUACGUAGGGGGCAAGCGUUAUCCGGAUUUACUGGGUGUAAAGGGAGCGUAGACGGUGAUGCAAGUCAGAAGUGAAAGCCCGGGGCUCAACUCCGGGACUGCUUUUGAAACUGUGUGACUGGAGUGCAGGAGAGGUAAGCGGAAUUCCUGGUGUAGCGGUGAAAUGCGUAGAUAUCAGGAGGAACACCGGUGGCGAAGGCGGCUUGCUGGACGGUAACUGACGUUGAGGCUCGAAAGCGUGGGGAGCAAACAGGAUUAGAUACCCGAGUAUG